GAUUGGGUGCAGUAAAGGCUUUUUGUAAAGGUUAUUCCAUUUGAUCGACGUUGAGUUUCGAACCUAGCUGAAAAAAUAGUAAGGCUUUAAAUUUGAUAAUAAAAAAAAAUUUAUCAAAAUUCAUUGAAAAUUGAUCAAGUUGUCAACAUUUCUAAACCAUAAAUUUUGUGAGAUUAGAAUUAUCUAAGAAAUGAACACAUUUAAGUACAGAGAUACUGAGAAGAGUAAGCGAAGAAAGAACUUUCUUGGGCACGAUAAUAAAAAGAAAAGGAAACUGGAACAGACCUAUAUUGCAAAAAGAAUACAUGUUGCACGAGGCAAAUAGAAGGGCUGAUAGGGCUAGGAAAAAGAAGAAUAGAAAUGUUCAAUGACAUAUUAUAUAUGACGAGAAGAGAAGAUACAGGGAGAGUCAGUAUGCAGGAAAGCUAAAAGACCUAUGAUUGGUGACCAAAAAUGACCAAAACCUUAUUAAUAAAUAUGGUUCAAGAAGUGUUGUUUUUGUUUUUGGUGAAGCAGAAAAUGAUUUAUUUAAUAUCUAAGAAUGUUAAAAAUGCUUACAAGAUUCACAUUCAAGAUUCCCUGUAAGCAAAGGGAAUAAGUCAACCGAUGUGAAUGAUUCAAAAAACGUUCGUUCUGUACC